rnacentral:rRNA from 1 species
UACAGGGCGAAUGUCUUGUAAUUGGAAUGAUGGUGACCCAAACCCUCACCAGAGUAGCAAUUGGAGGGCAAGUCUGGUGCCAGCAGCCGCGGUAAUUCCAGCUCCAAUAGCGUAUAUUAAACUUGUUGCAGUUAAAAAGCUCGUAGUUGUAUUUUUGCGUUAGCGGUUUGACCAUUUGGUUGGUUAUUUCGUUUUCGCUUUUGGGAAUUUCCCUUUUUACUUUGAGAAAAUUAGAGUGUUUCAAGCAUACUUUUGUCUUGAAUACUUCAGCAUGGAAUAAUANAGUAGGACUUUGGUUCUAUUUUGUUGGUUAUUGAACCUUANUAAUGGUUAAUAGGAACG